UGUGUGUGUAUGUGUGUGUAUGAUUUAAAGGAUGUUGGAGAAACAAUUCCAGCUCCCCCCACUAAAGAAUAAUAUACAUGUUCAUAUGUAUAAAAAAGAGGAAAUUACAUGGUUAAGAGAAAGUACAUUUUGGAUUAAAUGUAAAUAGCUCGGCCCUGUGAUCAUAUGUUACGUUAUGCACAUGUUAUAGAGUAUAUGUUACCCUGCUGUACUUUGUAGUCUUUAAUGUUUGCAUAUCUAAUAUUUUCAGAUUUUUAUCAGAGGCAUACGUACUGUACGUCCCAAUGCAUUUCUUUGUGCUCUUUGGGUUUGUGAGGGAAUUCACUCUUGCAUUUCCUUUUGAUAUUCUUGAAUGUAAUCUGUCCAGAAUUGAAGGUACUGUAUGUGAAUAAAAGACAAGAAAUUCUGAAA